CACGUAGGGCGCAAGCGUUGUCCGGAAUUAUUGGGCGUAAAGAGCUCGUAGGCGGUCUGUUGCGUCCGCUGUGAAAACUCGGGGCUUAACCCCGAGCCUGCAGUGGAUACGGGCAGACUAGAGGUAGGUAGGGGAGAAUGGAAUUCCCGGUGUAGCGGUGAAAUGCGCAGAUAUCGGGAGGAACACCGUUGGCGAAGGCGGUUCUCUGGGCCUUACCUGACGCUGAGGCACGAAGGCCAGGGGAGCAAACGGG
rnacentral:rRNA from 1 species